rnacentral:lncRNA from 1 species
UCAUUGCUGGCAUGUGGUCUUUCACAAUAAAAUUUUCCCCUUCCUUUUGAUUCCUCUAGGCAACAGCACAAAGUUAAACCAGGAAGUCCCUCUGCCUUGCUAGGGAUCCAGGCUUGCCUUCCUGUCGAGGUAUCCCAUUUGAUCAGUUGACCUAAGUUUGAACAAACACUGCCACCUGAUGCAUGAAAACUCUACUGUGACUUACGUUAAAAGGCAACAGCACAGAGUUAAACCAGGAAGUCCCUCUGCCUUGCUAGGGAUCCAGGCUUGCCUUCCUGUCGAGGUAUCCCAUUUGAUCAGUUGACCUAAGUUUGAACAAACACUGCCACCUGAUGCAUGAAAACUCUACUGUGACCUACGUUAAAAGGAACUGACACUCCUUCAGGCUACCUUAGUCACUGGGGGCUUGUUGCAGCAUACCUGUGGCAAUGAGAGAGAGGUACAUCACAGGAGCAGCUGGCAGCAGUGGCCUCCCGCCUAUGGUGAUGAUAAAAAAGAUGACCUUGUUGUUCUCACCUAUUCAGCACUGGACACCUUCCUGGAAAAUGUAUGAUUAGCCAGUCAAGGCCACCUCAAAGAGAAAGCAUCUAGUAGGUCUCAAGAUCCUAGUGAAUUUCGCUGAGAGCUGUGUUUCUAUUAGAAGAAGGAAGACUGCAGAGUUCUGAUUUUUGCUGGCAACCCCGUCACCUACAGCUGUGUCCCUAGUCCCUGGAGAUUUCUGCUAGUUGCAGAGAGCUGGUAGGUCAACUCUGGGUGGUUCCACCAAACUCCAUGACUAAUCCUAAAGAGCCCGAUUAUUCUCACUUCGAGCAGAAGCUCAUUAGCUACCCCAGAAGAGGUAGCAGAGAAUCAGCUGCCUUUGGGGAAUAAGACUGAGAAGUGAGGGCUAUGUCAGGCUUGGCCUCUGAGCAAAGUCCUUAGAAAAAAACCAGCUGAGUAGUCCUUCAA